AGCGGAGUAAUAUUUAGUGCACUCGUUAGUUAGUCCGUUUUAGUAUCAUAAUAUUUGAACGUCUAUAGUUUUUCUCUUUCAGCUUAUGGAACCAUGCAUUAUGGAAAUAUUGUUGUCAUCAAACGUGAUGGUAAAGAUGGGGCACAUUUCCCCCUGGAAAGCAAAUUUUAUCUCCUAGGCAGAAGUUCUAAAUGUGACAUAAGAAUACAACUUCCCAAAGUUGCACCAGAACAUUGUCAACUUUCUGUCGACAAACAUGGAAAGGUGAGAUGU